GGGGAGCCGCAGGGAAACCGAGUCUUAACUGGGCGUUAAGUUGCAGGGUAUAGACCCGAAACCCGGUGAUCUAGCCAUGGGCAGGUUGAAGGUUGGGUAACACUAACUGGAGGACCGAACCGACUAAUGUUGAAAAAUUAGCGGAUGACUUGUGGCUGGGGGUGAAAGGCCAAUCAAACCGGGAGAUAGCUGGUUCUCCCCGAAAGCUAUUUAGGUAGCGCCUCGUGAACUCAUCUUC
rnacentral:rRNA from 1 species